rnacentral:ncRNA from 1 species
GGGUAUCAAGCACACCCUAUGGUAGCUCAUAACGCCUUGCUCAGCCACACCCCCACAGGAUACAGCAGUGAUAAAAAUUAAGCCAUGAACGAAAGUUCGACUAAGCCAUGUUAAUCCAAGGGUUGGUAAAUUUCGUGCCAGCCACCGCGGUCAUACGAUUAACCCGAGUUAAUACGUCUACGGCGUAAAGCGUGUAAAAGAAAAAUCUUCUCUACUAAAGUUAAAGUAUGAUCAGGCUGUAAAAAGCUACCAUUAAUACUAAAACAGACUACGAAAGUGACUUUAAAAUUUCUGACUACACGACAGCUAAGACCCAAACUGGGAUUAGAUACCCCACUAUGCCUAGCCCUAAACAUAGAUAAUUUAUCAAACAAAAUUAUCCGCC